rnacentral:rRNA from 1 species
UACGUAGGUGGCGAGCGUUGUCCGGAAUCAUUGGGCGUAAAGAGCGCGUAGGCGGCUUGUCAGGUCUGAUGUGAAACCUUGGGGCUCAACCCCAAGCGUGCAUCGGAAACCGGCUUGCUAGAGUCCGGGAGAGGAGAGUGGAAUUCCUGGUGUAGCGGUGAAAUGCGUAGAUAUCAGGAGGAACACCAGUUGCGAAGGCGGCUCUCUGGAACGGUACUGACGCUGAGGCGCGAAAGCUAGGGGAGCAAACAGG